rnacentral:rRNA from 1 species
AGCGAACGCUGGCGGCAGGCCUAACACAUGCAAGUCGAACGGCAGCACGGGCUUCGGUCUGGUGGCGAGUGGCGAACGGGUGAGUAAUGUAUCGGAACGUACCAUUGAGUGGGGGAUAACGUAGCGAAAGUUACGCUAAUACCGCAUAUUCUCUCCGGAGGAAAGCAGGGGACCGCAAGGCCUUGCGCUCUUUGAGCGGCCGAUAUCAGAUUAGCUAGUUGGUGGGGUAAAAGCUCACCAAGGCGACGAUCUGUAGCGGGUCUGAGAGGAUGAGCGGCCACACUGGAACCGGGACACGGUCCAGGCUCCUACGGGAGGCAGCAGUGGGGAAUUUUGGACAAUGGGGGCAACCCUGAUCCAGCCAUGCCGCGUGAGUGAAGAAGGCCUUCGGGUUGUAAAGCUCUGUCGGCCGGGAAAAAAUCGCAUGGGCUAAUAUCCUGUGUGGAUGAUGGUACCGGAAUAAGAAGCACCGGCUAACUACGUGCCAGCCGCCGCUGUAAGAC